rnacentral:rRNA from 1 species
CCUCCGGGGGGCUGCAGUAGGGAAUAUUGCGCAAUGGGGGAAACCCUGACGCAGCAACGCCACGUGUGGGAAGAAGCAUUUCGGUGUGUAAACCACUGUCGAGAGGGAAUAAAAAGGGGCUUCGGCCCCUCUGAAUGUACCUUUAAAGGAAGCACCGGCAAACUUCGUGCCAGCAGCCGCGGUAAUACGAGGGGUGCAAGCGUUGUUCGGAAUCACUGGGCGUAAAGGGAGCGUAGGUGGAAUUGCAAGUGGACCGUGCAAACCCGGGGCCCAAC